rnacentral:piRNA from 1 species
UGAGAUGUACUCAAGCCAUCUUUCCUAUGA